rnacentral:rRNA from 1 species
UACGUAGGGCGCAAGCGUUAUCCGGAAUUAUUGGGCGUAAAGAGCUCGUAGGCGGUUUGUCGCGUCUGCCGUGAAAGCCCGGGGCUCAACCCCGGGAGGCGGGCGGAUACUGUCGGGCUAGAGUCCGGAAGAGGCGAGUGGAAUUCCUGGUGUAGCGGUGAAAUGCGCAGAUAUCAGGAGGAACACCGAUGGCGAAGGCAGCUCGCUGGGACGGUACUGACGCUGAGGCGCGAAAGCGUGGGGAGCAAACAGG